rnacentral:rRNA from 1 species
GGUGACCCAGGGCUUGCCCUGGUGAUCAGUGGCGAACGGGUGAGUAACACUGGGCAACCUGCCCUGACUCGGGGUAACUCCUCGAAAGAGGAGCUAAUACCGGAUACGACCACUUCGGACAUCCGAUGGUGGUGGAAAGUUUUCGGUCAGGGAUGGGCCCGCGGCCUAUCAGCUAGUUGGUGGGGUAAUGGCCUACCAAGGCGACGACGGGUAGCCGGCCUGAGACGGGCGACCGGCCACACUGGGACUGAGACACGGCCCAGACUCCUACGGGAGGCAGCAGUGGGAAUAUUGCGCAAUGGCGAAAGCCUGACGCAGCGACGCCGCGUGAGGGAUGAAGGCCUUCGGGUUGUAACCUCUUUCAGCAGGGACGAAGCGAAAGUGACGGUACCUGCAGAAGAAGCACCGGCUAACUACGUG